rnacentral:rRNA from 1 species
GACGGGGGGUCCUAGCGUUGUUCGGAAUUAUUGGGCGUAAAGCGUGUGCAGGUUGUUUGAAAAGUUGGAUGUGAAAUCCUUGGGCUUAACCCAAGACGUGCAUUCAAAACUGUCAGACUUGAGUAUGGAAGAGGAUCGUGGAAUUCCUAGUGUAGUGGUGAAAUACGUAGAUAUUAGGAGGAACACCGGUGGCGAAGGCGGCACGCUGGACCUUUUCUGACGCUGAGGCGCGAAAGCCAGGGGAGCAAACGGG